CUGGUGUAGCUCCGCCCUCUGCUGAUGUAGCCCCGUCCUGUGCUGCCGGCCGGCCCAGCCUAGGAACGCCAAACCCUGCCGGUGCAGAAGAAAGAAUACUCCAGAAGAAUGGCCAACAUGCACAAAAGUAUUUUAUUUUUUCAUGUUUUUCACACAUAAAUUUUUGUCUGAAUUUGAUCUUUUUAUUUUUUCUUAAUGGCAAUGUCCAUGUGCGCAUGAUCAAGGACAAACUUUUCACUGCAAAAG